GACGAACGCUGGCGGCGUGCUUAACACAUGCAAGUCGAACGGUAAGGCCCUUCGGGUACACGAGUGGCGAACGGGUGAGUAACACGUGGGUGAUCUGCCCUGCACUUCGGGAUAAGCCUGGGAAACUGGGUCUAAUACCGGAUAGGACCAUGGACUUCACGGUUUGUGGUGGAAAGCUUUUGCGGUGUGGGAUGGGCCCGCGGCCUAUCAGCUUGUUGGUGGGGUAAUGGCCUACCAAGGCGACGACGGGUAGCCGGCCUGAGAGGGUGUCCGGCCACACUGGGACUGAGAUACGGCCCAGACUCCUACGGGAGGCAGCAGUGGGGAAUAUUGCACAAUGGGCGCAAGCCUGAUGCAGCGACGCCGCGUUGAGGGAUGACGGCC
rnacentral:rRNA from 1 species